GACGUAGGUGGCGAGCGUUGUUCGGAAUCACUGGGCAUAAAGCGCACGUAGGCGGCCAUGUCAGUCGGGUGUGAAAUCCCUCGGCUCAACCGAGGAACUGCACUCGAUACUGGCUGGCUCGAGUCCGGGAGGGGAUGGUGGAAUUCCCAGUGUAGCGGUGAAAUGCGUAGAUAUUGGGAAGAACACCGGUGGCGAAGGCGGCCAUCUGGACCGGAACUGACGCUGAGGCGCGAAAGCCAGGGGAGCGAAUGGG
rnacentral:rRNA from 1 species